UAGAAACAGUAGGGGAUUCCAGUAA
rnacentral:piRNA from 1 species